rnacentral:rRNA from 10 species
UGACUGCGUACCUUUUGUAUAAUGGGUCAGCGACUUAUAUUCUGUAGCAAGGUUAACCGAAUAGGGGAGCCGAAGGGAAACCGAGUCUUAACUGGGCGUUAAGUUGCAGGGUAUAGACCCGAAACCCGGUGAUCUAGCCAUGGGCAGGUUGAAGGUUGGGUAACACUAACUGGAGGACCGAACCGACUAAUGUUGAAAAAUUAGCGGAUGACUUGUGGCUGGGGGUGAAAGGCCAAUCAAACCGGGAGAUAGCUGGUUCUCCCCGAAAGCUAUUUAGGUAGCGCCUCGUGAAUUCAUCUCCGGGGGUAGAGCACUGUUUCGGCAAGGGGGUCAUCCCGACUUACCAACCCGAUGCAAACUGCGAAUACCGGAGAAUGUUAUCACGGGAGACACACGGCGGGUGCUAACGUCCGUCGUGAAGAGGGAAACAACCCAGACCGCCAGCUAAGGUCCCAAAGUCAUGGUUAAGUGGGAAACGAUGUGGGAAGGCCCAGACAGCCAGGAUGUUGGCUUAGAAGCAGCCAUCAUUUAAAGAAAGCGUAAUAGCUCACUGGUCGAGUCGGCCUGCGCGGAAGAUGUAACGGGGCUAAACCAUGCACCGAAGCUGCGGCAGCGACACUGUGUGUUGUUGGGUAGGGGAGCGUUCUGUAAGCCUGUGAAGGUGUGCUGUGAGGCAUGCUGGAGGUAUCAGAAGUGCGAAUGCUGACAUAAGUAACGAUAAAGCGGGUGAAAAGCCCGCUCGCCGGAAGACCAAGGGUUCCUGUCCAACGUUAAUCGGGGCAGGGUGAGUCGACCCCUAAGGCGAGGCCGAAAGGCGUAGUCGAUGGGAAACAGGUUAAUAUUCCUGUACUUGGUGUUACUGCGAAGGGGGGACGGAGAAGGCUAUGUUGGCCGGGCGACGGUUGUCCCGGUUUAAGCGUGUAGGCUGGUUUUCCAGGCAAAUCCGGAAAAUCAAGGCUGAGGCGUGAUGACGAGGCACUACGGUGCUGAAGCAACAAAUGCCCUGCUUCCAGGAAAAGCCUCUAAGCAUCAGGUAACAUCAAAUCGUACCCCAAACCGACACAGGUGGUCAGGUAGAGAAUACCAAGGCGCUUGAGAGAACUCGGGUGAAGGAACUAGGCAAAAUGGUGCCGUAACUUCGGGAGAAGGCACGCUGAUAUGUAGGUGAAGUCCCUCGCGGAUGGAGCUGAAAUCAGUCGAAGAUACCAGCUGGCUGCAACUGUUUAUUAAAAACACAGCACUGUGCAAACACGAAAGUGGACGUAUACGGUGUGACGCCUGCCCGGUGCCGGAAGGUUAAUUGAUGGGGUCAGCGCAAGCGAAGCUCUUGAUCGAAGCCCCGGUAAACGGCGGCCGUAACUAUAACGGUCCUAAGGUAGCGAAAUUCCUUGUCGGGUAAGUUCCGACCUGCACGAAUGGCGUAAUGAUGGCCAGGCUGUCUCCACCCGAGACUCAGUGAAAUUGAACUCGCUGUGAAGAUGCAGUGUACCCGCGGCAAGACGGAAAGACCCCGUGAACCUUUACUAUAGCUUGACACUGAACAUUGAGCCUUGAUGUGUAGGAUAGGUGGGAGGCUUUGAAGUGUGGACGCCAGUCUGCAUGGAGCCGACCUUGAAAUACCACCCUUUAAUGUUUGAUGUUCUAACGUGGACCCGUGAUCCGGGUUGCGGACAGUGUCUGGUGGGUAGUUUGACUGGGGCGGUCUCCUCCUAAAGAGUAACGGAGGAGCACGAAGGUUGGCUAAUCCUGGUCGGACAUCAGGAGGUUAGUGCAAUGGCAUAAGCCAGCUUGACUGCGAGCGUGACGGCGCGAGCAGGUGCGAAAGCAGGUCAUAGUGAUCCGGUGGUUCUGAAUGGAAGGGCCAUCGCUCAACGGAUAAAAGGUACUCCGGGGAUAACAGGCUGAUACCGCCCAAGAGUUCAUAUCGACGGCGGUGUUUGGCACCUCGAUGUCGGCUCAUCACAUCCUGGGGCUGAAGUAGGUCCCAAGGGUAUGGCUGUUCGCCAUUUAAAGUGGUACGCGAGCUGGGUUUAGAACGUCGUGAGACAGUUCGGUCCCUAUCUGCCGUGGGCGCUGGAGAACUGAGGGGGGCUGCUCCUAGUACGAGAGGACCGGAGUGGACGCAUCACUGGUGUUCGGGUUGUCAUGCCAAUGGCACUGCCCGGUAGCUAAAUGCGGAAGAGAUAAGUGCUGAAAGCAUCUAAGCACGAAACUUGCCCCGAGAUGAGUUCU